AGCAGCUCGGGCGGCGGGAGGAGUGGCAGCGGCAAGGCAGCCCAGUUUCGCGAAGGCUCUCGGCGCGCCGCGGCCCGCAGGCACCCGGCACGCGCCUUCCCCGCCGCCACGAUGCCCAAGAGGAAGGUCAGCUCCGCCGAAGGCGCCGCCAAGGAAGAGGUGAGUGCGGGGCCUUCUGCGGGGGGUGGUGGGUUUCCCGUGAGCCGCUGGCCUGCCUUCUCUUCUCGCUGACUCUCCUUUUUCUUUCUCCAAGCCCAAGAGGAGAUCGGCGCGGUUGUCAGCUAAACCUCCUGCAAAAGUGGAAGCGAAGCCGAAAAAGGCAGCAGCGAAGGUAGGCCUCGAAACGCGCAUUGGGAUGCAGCGGGGCCUUAGGCUACACUGCUUCUUAAUGCGGGACUUUCCAUUGUGAUUAGCUAUUUGAGCUUUCUUUAUACUUUAAUAAUUACGGUAAAUAAUUUUUCUAGUGGUCGAGGCAAAAAUGUAAUGGAUAUAUUCAUCCUGGUUUAUAGAACUGUAUCACACUAAUGCUGCAGAUGUUAGGAGACUUAGGACGACA
rnacentral:sRNA from 1 species